AUCGAAGUAUUACAUUAGCAAGUAAUACAUAUAGCCGCCAUGGCAUAGCAAGAUGUAGCUGGAGUACAGGAUGACCGACCCAUAAGCUUGCUUAUAAGUCCCACAG
rnacentral:ncRNA from 1 species